CCCCUCGGGGCUCCUUGGUGAUUCAUAAUAACUUAACGAAUCGCAUGGCCUUGCGCCGGCGAUGGUUCAUUCAAAUUUCUGCCCUAUCAACUUUCGAUGGUAGGAUAGUGGCCUACCAUGGUGGCAACGGGUAACGGGGAAUUAGGGUUCGAUUCCGGAGAGGGAGCCUGAGAAACGGCUACCACAUCCAAGGAAGGCAGCAGGCGCGCAAAUUACCCAAUCCCGACACGGGGAGGUAGUGACAAUAAAUACUGAUACGGGGCUCUUUUGGGUCUCGUAAUUGGAAUGAGAACAAUUUAAAUCCCUUAACGAGGAACAAUUGGAGGGCAAGUCUGGUGCCAGCAGCCGCGGUAAUUCCAGCUCCAAUAGCGUAUAUUAAAGUUGUUGCAGUUAAAAAGCUCGUAGUUGAACCUUGGGUCUGGCUGGCCGGUCCGCCUCACCGCGAGUACUGGUCCGGCUGGACCUUUCCUUCUGGGGAACCCCAUGGCCUUCACUGGCUGUGGGGGGAACCAGGACUUUUACUGUGAAAAAAUUAGAGUGUUCAAAGCAGGCCUUUGCUCGGAUACAUUAGCAUGGAAUAAUAGAAUAGGACGUGCGGUUCUAUUUUGUUGGUUUCUAGGACCGCCGUAAUGAUUAAUAGGGAUAGUCGGGGGCGUCAGUAUUCAGCUGUCAGAGGUGAAAUUCUUGGAUUUGCUGAAGACUAACUACUGCG
rnacentral:rRNA from 2 species